GGGGGGGGAGGGGGGUUUUUAGCAAUCCGGAUGUCCAAAAUUUAAAAAAAAAUCAAAAACAAAUUUCUUUUUCCUCUUUUUUGAACUCUCCUUCCCAUUGUGAAAUUGGCAUUUUGACUAUGCGGUUAAUACUAGAUUUUGUUUUAAUUAGUAAUUUAUAUGUUUUUGUAUACAUAUACAAGGUUGCGUGAGUUUUUGCGAGGCAUGGCGGAUGUCCGGGGGGGAUCACUAAUUCGGACAAUGCCGGGGGGGUCUGAAAAUCCAUCAUUUGGCCGGACAUCCAUUGUGAAUGGCCCCUUAACGUUAUUUUGCCUUGCGAUACUUGGUACCUCUUAGGAGUUAGACAACGUCAGGUUAUGUACUUAGUGUAUUUUUCCACUAUGCCGUACUGUAAAAGGUUUGAAAGAACCGAAAUUAAUUCUGGCCGGUAUAUGUUGCGGUUACCGAUACGUACGGCUUUGUCAUUCUACUUUCUAAUUCACAAAGAUUUUUUUUCAAGCAGCAAUAACUAUAUUUCCUUAAUAGUUUAACGUUGCGCGACCAGUGAAAUAUCUUGUGACGUAAUAUCCUUUUCUCCCGGCGUUUCCGAACAAACCAAG